rnacentral:rRNA from 1 species
CGGACGGGUGAGUAAUGUCUGGGAAACUGCCUGAUGGAGGGGGGUAACUACUGGAAACGGUAGCUAAUACCGCAUAACGUCGCAAGACCAAAGAGGGGGACCUUAGGGCCUCUUGCCAUCGGAUGUGCCCAGAUGGGAUUAGCUAGUAAGUGGGGUAACGGCUCACCUAGGCGACGAUCCCUAGCUGGUCUGAGAGGAUGACCAGCCACACUGGAACUGAGACACGGUCCAG